rnacentral:rRNA from 1 species
GACGAACGCUGGCGGCGUGCUUAGCACAUGCAAGUCGAACGAAGCACUUGGAUCUCUUCGGAGUGAUGAGUGACUGAGUGGCGGACGGGUGAGUAACGCGUGGGUAACCUGCCUCGUACAGGGGGACAACAGUUGGAAACGACUGCUAAUACCGCAUAAGCGCACAGCAUCGCAUGAUGCAGUGUGAAAAGCUGAGGCGGUACGAGAUGGACCCGCGUUGGAUUAGCUAGUUGGUGGGGUAACGGCCUACCAAGGCGACGAUCCAUAGCCGACCUGAGAGGGUGACCGGCCACAUUGGGACUGAGACACGACCCAAACUCCUACGGGAGGCAGCAGUGGGGAAUAUUGCACAAUGGGCGAAAGCCUGAUGCAGCGACGCCGCGUGAGCGAUGAGGUAUUUCGGUAUGUAAAGCUCUAUCAGCAGGGAAGAAAAUGACGGUACCUGACUAAGAAGCUCCGGCUAAAUACGUGCCAGCCGCCGCAGUAAAAC